CCAGUUUCUCCAGGAAUCCCUGGAAUCCAUCGCGGACAAAUCCUGGAUUUGCCCCUUGGUGUCCGAGACCUUCCGGCAGCUCCGCGCCUGCGACGGCUCCCAGGCGGAGAAGGAUUUCCUGUACCGGUGCAUGGGGACGGCGCUGGGGCUGUGUCCCAGCAAGGAGCUGGUGAGGAAACAGCUCCAGGAGCUCCUGGAGAGCGCCCGGGGCCAGGAGGAGGCCGAGCGCGAGGGUCUCUCGUGCUGCUUCGGGAUCUGCGCCCGGAACCACCUGGAAGAAACUUUGGAAAAAUUGGAGGAAUUUGAGAAAUCCGACGCCUUCAGGAAAUCCCAGGGCUUGUUCAGCAUCUUCAAGG